CGGCCCCAAGUCAGGCGAGACCACCCGCCGAGUUUAAGCAUAUAAAUAAGCGGAGGAGGAGAAACUUACGAGGAUUCCCCUAGUAACGGCGAGUGAACCGGGAUCAGCCCAGCUUGAGAAUUUGACGGUUGAAUCCGUUCGAGUUGUAGUCUGGAGAAGUGUCCUCAGCGACGGAUCGGGCCCAAGUCCCUUGGAAUGGGGUGCCGGGGAGGGUGAGAGCCCCGUCUGGCCCGGACCAUGCCGCAUGACGAGGCACUGUCGUCGAGUCGGGUUGUUUGGGAAUGCAGCCCCAGUUGGGCGGUAAAUUUCGUCCAAGGCUAAAUAUUGGCGAGAGACCGAUAGCGAACAAGUACCGCGAGGGAAAGAUGAAAAGGACUUUGAAAAGAGAGUCAAAGAGUACUUGAAAUUGCCGCGAGGGAAGCGGAUGGGGGUCGACGGAGUGCUCCGGUCGGAUGCGGAACGGCUCUAGUCGGUCCGUUGCUCGACUUGGGGCAUGGACCGUUGCAGGCUACGCUGGCGGUCCAAGCCCGAACGCAUUGUGCGCGCUCGCGGCAUAUUGCCAGCGUGGUCGAGGAUGCGGCGCGCGCCAUCGGCGUUCCACCCUGUGGCACUUGUGCGCUCAAGGCAUCGGCCAGUGGGCUCCCCAUUCGACCCGUCUUGAAACACGGACCAAGGAGUCUGACAUGCAUGCGAGUCGGUGAGUUUGGAAACUCUGACGGCGCAAGGAAGCUGAUGGGUGGGAGCCCCUUUCUUUCUGUGGGGGUGCAUCACCGGCCGACCUAGAUCUUUUGUGAAGGGUUUGUGUUGGAGCAUGCCUGUCGGGACCCGAAAGAUGGUGAACUAUGCC
rnacentral:rRNA from 1 species